CAGUAGCCGCGGGAAUACGUAGGUCCUGAGCGUUAUCCGGAUUUAUUGGGCGUAAAGCGAGCGCAGGCGGUUAGAUAAGUCUGAAGUUAAAGGCUGUGGCUUAACCAUAGUACGCUUUGGAAACUGUUUAACUUGAGUGCAGAAGGGGAGAGUGGAAUUCCAUGUGUAGCGGUGAAAUGCGUAGAUAUAUGGAGGAACACCGGUGGCGAAAGCGGCUCUCUGGUCUGUAACUGACGCUGAGGCUCGAAAGCGUGGGGAGCAAACAGGAUUAGAUACCCCCGUAGUCCCUGUCUCUUAUACA
rnacentral:rRNA from 1 species